UAUUCUGCCAGCGGUCUAACGAAAUGCACGCAAUAAGUUUUCGGUCGACUUCGGGAAUGGUCUUCGUGCAUAAAUGUCCAGAAAAAUAAGCGCAGCGUUAGGUCCCACACAAUGUCAUGUUCUAUCAAAAUCUAUCCAAGUUUAGAGUUAAAUAGCUAUUUGUAUGGACAUAGUCCCUUUUUUUUUAAUAUACAGAAGUUUUGGUGUUGGUCUAAGAGUGCGGCACUCAGUUUCUAUGUGCCGUCCUGUUAAAUUGAAGUGUAGGAAAAUCUAAAGACCUGGGAAGUGUGAAACAGAAAGAAGAAAGCUUUUCCGACCCUAUAAAGUAUAUAUACGCUUGAUCAGUAUCACUAGCCGAGUCAAACUGGCCAGUGCCACGCCUACACCUUUCCCAUCAUUUCCCAUCGACAAUUUUUAUUUCCAGAAGUUUGAUAACAACAUAAUGGUCCAAUGUUGCCGACUGGAUAACUCCAUUUAUUGGACUCCGCCACAGAGUUGGUUGUAAGGGAUACCACCUGUUGAGCUUGUUGCGGACGAAAAGAAUGCAAUUGUGAUUUUAAAAAUACUGGAAAGUCAACAUGCUGCUGAAUUUGCAAGCUGGAUGAUAAUUCAUUAGCAGCUAAGCCCUUUAUACGCGAUUUCUCACUAACACAUUUUGAUAAUGUCCUCUUGGAAAGACAUCGAUCCUUUUGAAGCUUAUCUUUUUUUCGUCGAGCUAAAAUUUUUAAAUGUCCAUUUAUUCCUUUUGCGUCCUGAAAAGAAAGAUUUAAAAAAUAAUAUGUUGUAAACACAAUGUACACAAUUAUAUACCCCUUGCAGUCCAACUUAUCAUUUUUGUCAUACGUUAUUAAGCGUAAGUACUUGUUACUCAUUGGUUGGCUUUCUAAAUAAAUAUAUAUAAGCUUAAAUAAACUCCAACACAAUUUU
rnacentral:sRNA from 1 species